GACGAACGCUGGCGGCGUGCUUAACACAUGCAAGUCGAACGGAAAGGCCCUGCUUUUGUGGGGUGCUCGAGUGGCGAACGGGUGAGUAACACGUGAGUAACCUGCCCUUGACUUUGGGAUAACUUCAGGAAACUGGGGCUAAUACCGGAUAGGAGCUCCUGCUGCAUGGUGGGGGUUGGAAAGUUUCGGCGGUUGGGGAUGGACUCGCGGCUUAUCAGCUUGUUGGUGGGGUAGUGGCUUACCAAGGCUUUGACGGGUAGCCGGCCUGAGAGGGUGACCGGCCACAUUGGGACUGAGAUACGGCCCAGACUCCUACGGGAGGCAGAAGUGGGGAAUAUUGCACAAUGGGCGGAAGCCUGAUGCAGCAACGCCGCGUGCGGGAUGACGGCCUUCGGGUUGUAAACCGCUGUCGCCUGUGACGAAGCGUGAGUGACGGUAACGGGUAAAGAAGCACCGGCUAACUACGUG
rnacentral:rRNA from 1 species